rnacentral:rRNA from 1 species
GAUGAACGCUGGCGGCGUGCCUAAUACAUGCAAGUAGAACGCUGAAGGAAGGAGCUUGCUCUUUCCGGAUGAGUUGCGAACGGGUGAGUAACGCGUAGGUAACCUGCCUGGUAGCGGGGGAUAACUAUUGGAAACGAUAGCUAAUACCGCAUAACAGUAGAUGUUGCAUGAUAUCUACUUAAAAGGUGCAAUUGCACCACUACCAGAUGGACCUGCGUUGUAUUAGCUAGUUGGUGAGGUAACGGCUCACCAAGGCGACGAUACAUAGCCGACCUGAGAGGGUGAUCGGCCCCACUGGGACUGCGACACGGCCCAGACUCCUACGGGAGGCAGCAGUAGGGAAUCUUCGGCAAUGGACGGAAGUCUGACCGAGCAACGCCGCGUGAGUGAAGAAGGUUUUCGGAUCGUAAAGCUCUGUUGUAAGAGAAGAACGAGUGUGAGAGUGGAAAGUUCACACUGUGACGGUAUCUUACCAGAAAGGGACGGCUAACUACGUG